rnacentral:rRNA from 1 species
UCAAGUCAUCAUGGCCCUUACGACCAGGGCUACACACGUGCUACAAUGGCGCAUACAAAGAGAAGCGACCUCGCGAGAGCAAGCGGACCUCAUAAAGUGCGUCGUAGUCCGGAUUGGAGUCUGCAACUCGACUCCAUGAAGUCGGAAUCGCUAGUAAUCGUGGAUCAGAAUGCCACGGUGAAUACGUUCCCGGGCCUUGUACACACCGCCCGUCACACCAUGGGAGUGGGUUGCAAAAGAAGUAGGUAGCUUAACCUUCGGGAGGGCGCUUACCACUUUGUGAUUCAUGACUGGGGUGAAGUCGUAACAAGGUAACCGUAGGGGAACCUGCGGUUGGAUCAC